UCCCUGUUGGUCCAAUGGUUAGGACUCCCCUCUGUCACUGCUGAAGGUGCAGGUUUAAUCCCUGUUCCGGGAA
rnacentral:tRNA from 1 species